UCCCAAAGUGCUGGGAUUACAGGCCUGAGCCACUGUGACUACCUGAUACGUCUCUUCUCUCUUGCUGCUUUCAAAAUCCUGUCUUUUGUGGGAGGGCAGCUGCCGAGCUCUGGACUUCUACGGGAUCAUCCACUGAGGACAGGAGGACCGGGCCCUCUACAGGUGGAUUGUAUGGCAGCUGCCAUGCUUGGAGCCAGUGCUCACCGAGCACGUGGCGGCUGUGGAGCUGGACGCGGGGUUGAUAAGUCCGCUGGGGGUGACGGGCUCAUCCAUGAGUGGUACUUGAUGUGGCUGCAGAAGGCGGAUGUGGUGGUGGCAGAAGUGACACAACUGUCCCUGGGUAUAGGCUAUGAUCUGUGCCAGGCCACAGCCCUCAAUAAGUGAAUCCUGUGCCUGCUCCAGCAGCAGUCCGGUGGAGUGCUGUCGGCCAUGAUCUGGGAAGAGGCAGAUGGCUCUGGGUUCCAGGUGUGGGACUACGGAGAGGGACAGGUGGAGGCCCUGCUGCAUGGAUAGGUUGAGGCUGAUCCUUCCGAGCAGGUUGCCUCCCCUAACCCAACCAUUGGACCUAAUCCCAUUUUAUUAAAUUCUUCUCAUCCCAGACACUGCUCUAGUACCAGUCCUGGCUCUUUGCCCCAGGAGCAAAUUAAAAGGUACAUUUAAAAUUCUAAAAAAAGAAAAAUCUGUCUUUUGACAGUGAUUAUGAUGAUGCGUAUGGCUGAAGAUCUCUUUGAGUUUACCCUACUUGGAGUUUGAUGAGCUUUUUGGAUGUACGGAUUAAUAUUUUUCAUCAGAUUUGGGAGGUUUUUCAGCCAUUAAUUCUUCAACUAUUCCUUUACUCCUUUCUCCCUGUCUUCUUUCCUGGGACUCCCAUUGUGUGUAUGUCGGAAAGCUUGACGGCGUCUCCAGGUCUCUGGAUCUCUGUGCAUUGCUCUUCAUGCUUGUUCCUGUUCCUCAGAGGGGACUACCUCAGGUGGCCUCUCUCCAUAGUCACAGGCUCUUUCUUCCAAUUGUUCCAAUCUGCUCUUGGGCCCCUGGGAUGAAUUUUCAUUUAUUUUACCCUACAACUCCAGAAUUUUUAUUUGGUUCCUUUUUAAACUUUUUUUUUGUUUUUUGUUUUGUUUUGUUUUUUGGAGUAUCGCUCUGUCACCCAGGCUGUAGUGCAGUGGUGCAAUCUCGGCUCACUGCAAUCUCUGCCUCUCGGGUUCAAGCGAUUCUCCUGCCUCAGCCUCCCGAGUAGCUGGGAUUACAGGCACGUGCCACCACGCCCGGCUAAUUUUUGUAUUUUAAGUAGAGACGGGGUUUCACCAUGUUGGCCAGGCUGGUCUCAAUCUCUUGACCUCAUGAUAUGCCCGCCUCAGCCUCCCAAAGUGCUGGGAUUAUAGGCAUGAGCCACCAUGCCCAGCCCCUUUUUAUAAGGUUCAUCCCAUUAUUGAUAUUCUCUAAUUGGUGAGACAUUGUUCCCACACUUUCGUUAGUUCUUUUGACAUGGUUCUUUUCUUUUUCUUGGGAGAGGGUCUCUCUGUCGCCCAAGCUGGAGUGCAGUGAUGCAGUCAUGGCUCACUGCAGCCUCAACUUCCUGGGCUGAAGUGAUCCUCCUACCUCAGCAUCCUGAGAGGCUGGGACCAUAGGCAGCCAGCUAAUUUUUUAAAUUUUUUGUAGAGAUGGGGGUCUCACCACAUUUCCCAAGCUGCUCUCAAACUCCUGGGCUCAAGCAAUCCACGGGCCUCAGCUUCCCAGAGUGCUAGGAUUAUAGGUGUGAGCCACUGCACCAGGCCUACACGUGGUUUCUCCCUUUGAAGUACUAGCCAGGCCUGACCAUGCUUAGCUUCCGAGAUCAGCAGGUUCCAGCCGGUGCAGCCUCAGAUGCAGCAUGUUUUAGGUCUUUGAACAUAUUUAAAUGAGCUGACUGAACGUCUUUGUCUAGCAAUUGCAGCAUCGGGCUGGUCCCAUUGGUGACUUUUCCCGUGUCUGGGUCGUCCUUUCGGUUUCCUUUCCAUGUCUCAUAAUUUGUUAAAACCUGGACAUUUCACGGGCGAUAAUGUGGCAACUCCGGAAGUCAGAUUCUCUUCCCUGCCAAGGAUGUGUUGUUGUUGUUGCCUGUUGGAGCUGUUUCUUUGCUGGGUGACUUUUCUGAACUAAUUCUGACUAAGCAUUAAUGUCUCCAUUCCCUGCGAGCUGUGGCCACUGAAGCCGCUCUUCAGUUACGGCAGUGGUCAGCUAAUGACUGGUCAGAGAGUUCCUUAGGUGCCUGGAAGCGAAGUCUUUGCCGAGUGGGUCUCUCUCUGUGUGCCGGGCGUGGCUUCAGUGCUCGGCUAGGCAGUGCUCAACUUUCCCUUAGCCGUCACCUGCUGUCUGCACAGCACCUCAGGUCACGACCCCCAGGAGACCUGGAGGACUGAAUGCUGCUGCCCCCAAGGAGGAGGCUGCCGUCUUAUCCCAGGAGGGAGAGCAGGUGAAGUCCCCAGGGGAGGAAGCACCUAGCCCCAUUCCUGCUGAGCAGGAGGUGGCAGGUACCCCAGACUGGGAGGUAAGGACAGCCCGGGGCUUCGACUGAACGUCUCCAGCGUGGGUCCAACUGAGCAGCCAUGGAGCACUGCAGAGUGGGAGGCAGCAGGGCAGGGAGGCAGUGCUGGAGGCUGGCUCAACCCCAAGACCAGCAGGCCAAGCUGCCAUCCCAGGGGAGCGAGGACGUCUGUGCAGAGCUGAGAGGCAGCAGCCAUGUGUGAACAGACUGGGCCUCAUCCUGGCCCCACCGACUUUGUGUGGACAGAGCCUGUUUCCCUGUCUGUGCAACACAGAACCUGCCUGAUCUCACUGCUGGAUCCCUCUUCUUCCUGCCAGGAAAAUAAAAAGGUUCAAAAGGAAGUUGCUGCGUAUCCAUCUGAGGCCUCUGAGGACAGCAAAGAGCAAAGGCCCUGGGACCGGGUCUACGUGCCCAUGACAGAGCUCUGGCUGGACUGGUUCUGAGCCUCUAACACCCCCAAGACUCAGAACCGUGAAGAAAAUCUUUCCAAUAAAUCCAAGAGUUGCUGCUGCUAUAGGCCAGGCUGCCACCUUUCGGGGCCUCCGUCUUCAGACAAACCCAGCCUGGCUUCAUCCACACUCCCUGUCCCCACAGCUGCAGGAACAGCACUUCCUGCCACCGAGCCGUGUGACCACAGUGGAUUGUCUCUGGAGGGGCCCAAGGGGGCCCUGGCCACCCUUCUGACUGACUCGGUGCCAGGGGACAGACCAACGUCCCUCUCGUGCUGACAGCCGGGCCGCACCCUGGCAUGAGGGCAUUUACAGAAAUGCUGGCGGAACUGCUGCCAGGGAGGCUGUAGGGUCCUCUGGCAAAAGAGGCCUCAGGUGGCUCCUCAGAGUGUCUGUGGUUCUCUGUCCCAGGCUGUUCCCUAAGAAGGUCUGCCCAGGACUCAGGUAAUCAUAUGCUCAUUAGAAACUCUUGGGCACUGCCUGUGUGCCCAGCCCAGCCCAUUAUGUCGGUGAGGACAGACGUGGAGGACAGCAGUCCCUGCCCUUGGUUGGGGCUCCAGGCCAGCAAGGGCCACAGCCCCAGAAGGCAGAGCAGGAAGACAGGACUCGGGGCAGGUGAAGCAGCCUUCUCGUUGGCAGAAGGGAAACAGAAGCCCGGGGUGGGGAAGGGUGGGGAAGGGUGGGGAAGGGUGGGCCCGGGGUCACACGGGGUAAUGGCAGAGCAAGGACUAGGGUCAGGGUCUCUGGCUCUCAGCUGCCCAUGCCACCUCCUCCUUCUCUGCCCGCCCCAGUGCCUUAUGGGUCCAAGGUUGACUCCUGUCCCUAGGGCAGGCCUGUGGGCCCUGCCUGAUCCCUACUGGGAGGAUGGUACCUAGGGUUGGAGCCAAACAAGUGUCCUCCUCCAGCGCCAGCCUGGCCCUGAGUGCGAACUCGUCACUGGUCAGGGGUCCAGACAGCAGCAUCCCUGAGGGCCCAGAGAGGUGGCCAGUCCUGUGGUGAGGUUGAGAGGUGUCAACGUGCUGGUGGUCCUCGCUCGCUCUCAGCGCCUCCUCGGCCUCAGCUUCUGCUCUGACCACACUUGAGGAGCCCUUCAGCCCAGCGCUGCACUGUGGGAGCCCCUCUCUGGACUGGUGGAGGCUGGAGCCGGCUCCGUCUGCUUGCGGGGAGGUAUGGAGGGAGAGGCGUGUGCGGGAACCUGGGUUGCUCGCGGGCCAGCACCAGUUCUGGGUGGGCAGGGGCUCAGCGGGCCCUGCACUCGGAGCGGCCGGCUGGUGCCUCUGGCCCCAGGCAGUGAGGGGCUUAGCACCUGGGCCAGCAGCUGCAGAGGGGGCACCGGGUCCCCCAGUACUGCUGGCCUGCCGGCGCUCACCACACUUGAAUUGUCGCCAGGCCUCAGUCACCUCCCCGCGGGGCAGGGCUCAGGACUUGCAGCCUGCCAUGCCCAAGCCUCCCUACGGUGGGCUCCCUGCGAGGCCCGAGCCUCCCGGAUGGGUGCCUCCCACUGCUCCACGGCACCUGGUCCCGUCCACUGCCCAAGGGCUGAGGAGUACAGGUGCCCGGUGUGGGACUAGCAGGCAGCUCUGCCUGUGGCCCUGGCAUAGGAUCCACUAGGCGAAGCUGGCUGGGCUCCUGAGUCAGGUGGGGACUUGGAGAACUUUUAUGUCUAGCCAGAGGAUUGUAUAUGCACCAAUCAGCACUCUGUGUCUAGCUCCGGGUUCGUGCAUGCACCAAUUAGCACUCUAUCUAGCUAAUCUGGUGGGGACUUGGGGAACCUUUAUUUCUAGCUAAAAGAUUGUAAAUACACCAAUCAGCACUCUG